UACGGGGGGGGCAAGCGUUGUUCGGAAUUACUGGGCGUAAAGGGCUCGUAGGCGGCCAACUAAGUCGGAUGUGAAAUCCCCAGGCUUAACCUGGGAACUGCAUCCGAUACUGGAUGGCUUGAAUCCGGGAGAGGGAUGCGGAAUUCCAGGUGUAGCGGUGAAAUGCGUAGAUAUCUGGAGGAACACCGGUGGCGAAGGCGGCAUCCUGGACCGGUAUUGACACUGAAAAGCGAAAGCCAGGGGAGCAAACGGG
rnacentral:rRNA from 1 species